UCGCACAUCCACCCAUGACCCCAAAUCGACCUCCACCUUCUUCCCCUGCCCUGCUCCCACCCCCCGGGAGAGCCCACGACGGGGAUCAGUGCCGGCGCCGCCCACUCCUCUCCCCCUUCCUUGUUCCUAGCUCCCUCCCGCAGAGACACGUGCGCCCACGCCUCGGCCUCGCUCGCCACCUCUCCCAUGGUCACCGAAGCACCAAUCCCAGCGCCCGUCGCCUAAGCCUGGCUAGCCUGCACCCCUCAACCUCCCUCCCCCAUGACGCCCUCACCCUCCUUCCAACACCAGCCAUGCCCCAGCCACCCACUGUCGCCCGGAUCUGGCUUCCCUGCGCCGCCCGACCCCACCCUCCAAUGGAUCUCGUCGACCCGAUGAUCCCCGACGCAAAAGGCCAACCCAGGAAGCUCCCACACCCCGGUGUGCAAUGGUCCCUAGCACCCCUCGGAUCCCGACGAGCCUUGCUCCCCGGAUCCAUGCUCUUCCACCCCCCACUCCCCCUCCCGGUGUCCUUCUUCUUCCCCAUCUCAAGCCCUCCCCUACCCACCUUCUUCCGCGACGGCGACCCAGCUCUUCCCCGUCGUAGGUCCUUCCCUCCCCUACCUACCUUCUUCCACCGCACCACGGGUUCUUCCCGAAAAUCGCAGCACCACCCCGAGCCCGUCGCGCAUCUGAUCCACUCGUCAGCGGUGCACACGCAGUCCCCCCCACGGCGGCAUGCAGUACGCCACUCGCGCUAGUGUAGCCCGCUGGCUGCACCUACGCACAUCGACCGUGAAGUCCCCAGGAUGAAGACGUCGUGGAGCGUGGGGUGCAACUCAUUUUUUCUCAUCGCGCAGCUCGUUGCGGCUCAGGUUGCAGCUCAUUUUAGUUCACUGUGUUCUUCUAUGCAGCAAAAAAGGAUGUGCAACUUGGCGUUUGUGAGGAGCGAGAUGUGCAGAUCGGUUAGAGCAAGAUUCCACUACAUAAAGGGUCCAGUACACUUCGGCGACGCUGGGAUUGCAUCCAGGAUUUGCAAAAACAAAAAAGAACUUGGUUUGCCACUGGAGAUGGUCUAGUGUAGUUCGGCUGGGUGCCCCGCGCGGUUCACACUUUGUUUUUCAUAGAAUGGAGUUCGCUAGUAAAACCGUUGUUGGUCAUUAUGUGUGAAAAAAAGAUUACACUAGAGCAAAGGGAAUAGUGGAUGCGGUUCACUACAAUGUGAGUUUGGUUAUGUAAAAAAUAAUGAAUGAAUAUGUAUGUUUUGAAGCUCA